CCCUCUCCCCCCACAGCUCCCCCCUAACCACCUGGAAGACCAAAUUUAGUUUAAAAUUUCCCGGGGGCCGAUGGGGGCCCUUUUUUUUUUUUUUACGAUGAUUAUAUUUGGGAGGACAAUGUUAGCUCAACAGGGGCCCAUUUCUCUGGUAGUUCCACUGCUUAUGAAACUGAUUCAGAGGAUGGUCGAUCAGACCUGGUGGAUAAGGAAUUAUUAGAGCAAAUCAGCCCGGGUGGGGCUCACUCAGAUAAUACCCAACCCGAUGAGGUCAAUUUGUGUGAUCUCAAAUCAAAUGAAGACAAGUUUGAUGAAACGACUGAGCUUUCGGAUCGGAACAGCGUUGGAGAUAUCUCUGUUGUAGACUGUGAUGGGUCUGACAGUGGUGUUCCUUGUGACUACACUAGAUACGACCAGUUACACGCACGAUGCAAAGCCUACAGACAGGAGAUACAGGACCUCCGUAGCAGACUGAAGGAGGGUAACAUCGCCCACCCUACCCCCAUGGCUGGGGAGCAUGCUAACCAUGAUCUCUGUCAGGCUGUCCACGAGCUGCUCAAUGAUAUCGACUCAGGACCCUCCACAGCAGAUGGACGAACCAGGGCUCCUUCAAUUCAGGAGAUCUCCAGACUCCUUCUCCCUGUCACAGAGCAGAGUCAGACAGCACCUGCCGUCUUCGCUACUCCUGACGGAGCUGCCUUCAAAGAAGACUGUGACGUUAUCCAAGAGAAGACAGACGAACUAACAGACCUAGUUAAGGGUCUCCACAGUAGACUAGAUGCACAGAAACAAGCCAAGAUAGACGCACUCCAGGAUAAGGUUAAAGAGUACGAGAAGGAAAUGGACCGUCUCAGAGACCUUAUUGGAGAGGAAUCAGAGAAGGAGAACGAGUUGGAAGCAUUGAGGGAGAGGAACAGACAACUAGCUCUCAACCUCAGGGACUCUCAAGGGGAUCUAGAGGGUGCUGAGAGGAAGAACGGAAUUCUAACUGAUAAGUUCAAAGAAGCUAAUGAUGCUCUGACGACAGCAUCAGAUGAGUUACAGGAGCUGAGAAGAAAGACAAGAGAGCGGGAGGCUUACAUCCGACAACUUCAGGAGAGCUUAAGGCAAGCUGACGACCGAAUAGAAGAAAAGGAUCAGUCGAACGAGAACCUGAGGAACAACUGUGACGAACUCCAAGAGAAGGCUCAGCAGCUUUCCCUUCUUAUUAAAGAGGUCGAAACUAAGUUUGUAGAGAAGAGUAGACAGUACACGAUACUGGAGAAGGACCUCACAAAACUGAAGGACGACCACAAGGUCAUCACUGAGUUCUGUGACAAGAAAAACAUUAAGAUCGACGAGUUAGAGCACGAUCUGAGGGAUCUGAUCAAGGAGAACCAGAAGCUGGUGGAAGAGAACGCUCAGCUCACAGACGAAACACAGGUUAAAGAUGAGAAGAUCAAGGAGCUGGAGAACAGGUUGGAUGCUAAGGAGAGACUUAUCACCGAGCUUGAGAAGGCUGCUAACAAGAUGGCCGAUGACUUAGUUGCGCGAGAUAGCGUCCUGCAUACCAUGAACAACGAGAUAGAGAAAAUGGAGAAGGAGCUGGACGAGAAGGACGAACUGAUGAAACAACUUGAAGAGGAUCUGGAACAGCAGGACAAGGAUCUGGAGAAGAUUGAACAUGAGCUUGAAGACACCAAAGAUGAUGUCAAAGAGAAAGAAGCUGAAAACAUCAAGCUAGAAGACGAGAAGAAAGACAUCGAAGAAGAAAAAGCCAAGGUUGAAGAUGAAAAAGAAAAGCUUGAGGACGAAAAGCAAAAGUUAGAAGAUGAUUUGGUAAAAGCAGACGAUGAGAACAAGAAGCUGAAUGAUAUUAUCGAUAAGUUGGAAGAUAUGAUCGACAAUCUGAAGGAAGAUGUCGAGAAACUGGAGAAAGAAGUUCAAGACAAGGAUGAUACUAUCAAGGAUCUGGAAGAUGAGAUCGAAAAACUCAAGCAACAGUUGAAGGAUGCCAAGCUUGAUGACGACAAAGUAAAGGAUCUGCUGGAAGAUCUGGAAAAAGACCUGGAGGAAAAACAAAAGGAGCUAGAUGACGCCAAUAAAAUGAUCGAUGAGCUCAACGAUGAGCUGGAAGAAGCUAAGCCUGAGAUCGAGAGACUUCUAGACGAGGUAAAGAGACUGGAAGAUGAGGCGAAGGAUCUGGAGGAUACUUUGAAAGAAGAGAAGGAGGCUGCUGAGGCUGUCAAGGACGAAAAUGAUACACUACUAAUCAAAUCUGGAAGAUGACACAGUCGACGAUCAAAAGGACGAUCUUGACAAUCUAGCUAAAAUAGUAGACGAUUUGGAAAAAGAUAUUGAAGAGGCAGAGGGUGAUAACAAGGAACUUACCGAUGAGAAUGAGGAACUGAAGAAAAAUAUCGAAGACCUCGCUCAACAAAAACAAGACAUUUUAGAUGAAGUGCAAGAAGCAAUGAAGGAUAUGGACGGAGAAAGGGAUGACUACAAAGACAAUCUAGAGCAGCUGAAGGACUUCCUUGAGGCUCAGAAAACUGACAUGGACGAUCUUAAGUCACAGAUCGUAGAGAAGCCUGAGAUGGAGAACAGGUGUAUGCAGACUGAUGUGAACGAGACAAGAUCCGUCCGGCAACAGACGGACGAACAAGAAACCAUGAAUGUCAUGAUACAGACCGUGAUAGAAGAAAUGAAGCCCCCAGUUCGAAGCAGACGUAUCCAAACAGAAAUGGACAUGAAGUUCAUGGCGGCCAAAUCCUCAUCCAAAACAGAAACCCGGAAAUCCUCCUCGAUCCAUAUCAUCAAAGCUUUGAUGACAACAAUAGACCGACCCACUCAGACUGUCGACUUACCAUUUUAAAAUUAGAGAAUGUGUUAGUUUCUUGUAGGAGUGAGCCGACCUUUUAGACUAGCCGCAGGAUUAGAAGAAUUGGCAUAGCAUGGUUACGUUUUAAACCAAGUAUUCAUUUAUAGGAAUUACAAAUCUCAGAGUCUAUUGUAGAGGGGUUGUUAAACUUGAAUUGUGCUCAUCAACUUCAAGUUAUGUUUCGUGAUUGGCGACUAUAAUUUAGUUCGGUAUUAAUUUUAAUUUGACAUAUUUCCCGAUUUGCUCUCACUCAAUGACAUUAUUAUUUUGCCACUGUUUUACAGUGUUUAUCAUAGCAUUAAGUUUAAUAACUUUCAGGUUUUUAACUAUUUUAUAUUUUAAAGAGUUUUUCAGUUGAAAGAGUUCAGUUCGAAAUCAAGUUUAACGUACUAUCUUAGGUGAAUGUUCUUUUUAUUAUAUGAUUGAUUGAUGAUGGAUGAAACAUCGAAUGAUAACUUCAAUAGGUUUAUUUUGUAUAUACAAUUAUUAUUAUCAUUAUUAUCACAAUUACCUUGCGACUGAAGGUACUUUAUCAA